rfam:Bombyx mori DNA, contig: Bm_scaf68_contig30528, strain: p50T/Dazao, build 2, whole genome shotgun sequence.
UAACGUCAAAUUUGUAUGGAGCUGGAACGUUUGCCUACGUUUGCCGCUAAGGGCGCUGUUCGAACUGCAUACAAAUUUGAAGUUA